CAAGCCGGCCAGGCAAUCGCCGGUCGCGCCGGGUUUUCCGGUGCGGCGGGAGGAAAGUCCGGGCUCCGGCGGACGGGACGCCAGGUAACGCCUGGGGGGCGCAAGCCUACGGAAAGUGCCACAGAAAAGAUACCGCCCCGCUCCCUUCGGGUCGAGCAGGGUAAGGGUGAAAUGGUGCGGUAAGAGCGCACCGCGCGGCCGGCAACGGCCGUGGCAGGGUAAACCCCGUCUGGAGCAAGGCUGAAUAGGGAAGCAAUGCGUAUGUCCGCACGCGCUUCCGGGUAAGCUGCUUGAGGCCGUUGGCGACGGCGGCCCUAGAUGAAUGAUUGUCCUCGACAGAACCCGGCUUAUCGGCCGGCUUGCCCC
rnacentral:RNase_P_RNA from 1 species